UGGCUCAGAUUGAACGCUGGCGGCAUGCUUUACACAUGCAAGUCGAACGGCAGCACGAGUGCUUGCACUUGGUGGCGAGUGGCGGACGGGUGAGUAAUACAUCGGAACGUAUCCUUAAGUGGGGGAUAACGCAUCGAAAGAUGUGCUAAUACCGCAUAUUCUCUGUGGAGGAAAGUAGGGGAUCGAAAGACCUUAUGCUUAUGGAGCGGCCGAUGCCUGAUUAGCUUGUUGGUGGGGUAAUGGCCUACCAAGGCGACGAUCAGUAGUUGGUCUGAGAGGACGACCAGCCACACUGGGACUGAGACACGGCCCAGACUCCUACGGGAGGCAGCAGUGGGGAAUUUUGGACAAUGGGCGAAAGCCUGAUCCAGCAAUGCCGCGUGAGUGAAGAAGGCCUUCGGGUUGUAAAGCUCUUUUAGUUAAGAAGAAAAGGUUGUGACUAAUAAUCACAAUUAAUGACGGUAUUAACAGAAAAAGCACCGGCUAACUACGUG
rnacentral:rRNA from 1 species